rnacentral:rRNA from 1 species
UACGGAGGGUGCAAGCGUUAUCCGGAUUCACUGGGUUUAAAGGGUGCGUAGGUGGGUCUGUAAGUCAGUGGUGAAAUCUCCGAGCUUAACUCGGAAACUGCCAUUGAUACUAUUAGUCUUGAAUUAUCUGGAGGUGAGCGGAAUAUGUCAUGUAGCGGUGAAAUGCUUAGAUAUGACAUAGAACACCAAUUGCGAAGGCAGCUCACUACGGAUAUAUUGACACUGAGGCACGAAAGCGUGGGGAUCAAACAGG